rnacentral:rRNA from 1 species
UACGUAGGGGGCUAGCGUUGUCCGGAAUCAUUGGGCGUAAAGCGCGUGUAGGCGGUCCGGUAAGUCCGCUGUGAAAGUCCAGGGCUCAACCCUGGAAUGCCAGUGGAAACUGUCGGGCUAGAGUCCGGAAGAGGCGAGUGGAAUUCCUGGUGUAGCGGUGAAAUGCGCAGAUAUCAGGAGGAACACCAAUGGCGAAGGCAGCUCGCUGGGACGGUACUGACGCUGAGACGCGAAAGCGUGGGGAGCAAACAGG